rnacentral:tRNA from 1 species
GGCAGGAUGGCUGAGAUUAGGCGGUAAAUUGUAAAUUUAUUUACGAAAUUGUAUUUCUCCUACCA